GUUAGCAUAGUCUAAUAAAGACGUUAGAAUGUGAGUCUAAAAACAGAAGUUCAACCCUUCUUGCCAACC
rnacentral:tRNA from 1 species